UCCAGACUCCUACGGGAGGCAGCAGUGGGGAAUAUUGGGCAAUGGGCGCAAGCCUGACCCAGCAACGCCGCGUGAAGGAAGAAGGCUUUCGGGUUGUAAACUUCUUUUAAGAGGGAAGAGUAGAAGACGGUACCUCUUGAAUAAGCCACGGCUAACUACGUGCCAGCAGCCGCGGUAAUACGUAGGUGGCAAGCGUUGUCCGGAUUUACUGGGUGUAAAGGGCGUGUAGCCGGGCCGGCAAGUCAGAUGUGAAAGCCCAAGGCUCAACCGUGGAACUGCAUUUGAAACUGUUGGUCUUGAGUAUCGGAGAGGCAGGCGGAAUUCCUAGUGUAGCGGUGAAAUGCGUAGAUAUCAGGAGGAACACCGGUGGCGAAGGCGGCCUGCUGGACUGCGACUGACGUUGAGGCCCGAAAGCGUGGGGAGCAAACAGGAUUAGAUACCCUCGUA
rnacentral:rRNA from 1 species